rnacentral:rRNA from 1 species
GAUGAACGCUAGCGACAGGCCUAACACAUGCAAGUCGAGGGGUAGCAGUAGAUUAGCUUGCUAAUCUAGCUGACGACCGGCGCACGGGUGAGUAACACGUAUGCAACCUGCCUUUUACAGGGGAAUAGCCCAGAGAAAUUUGGAUUAAUGCCCCAUAAAAUCAAUCAUUCGCAUGUUUGAUUGAUUAAAGCUCCGGCGGUAAAAGAUGGGCAUGCGUUCUAUUAGUUAGUUGGUAAGGUAACGGCUUACCAAGGCGACGAUAGAUAGGGGUUCUGAGAGGAUAGUCCCCCACACUGGUACUGAGACACGGACCAG